rnacentral:lncRNA from 1 species
CCCACCUCCCCCGCAAACUGUGGCCCUUAACGGUAGCCCUGAGGGCUGUGGGCAGGUCCUGAGGCUACGCCUGCGAGUGAGCCACAGCCUGGGAACAGAGACUGGGAGGAAAUGGCCCAGCGCGGGAGGAAGAAGCUCCGUGUCUGGAGCGCCAACAUCCCGCGCCUGGGGAGCCUGACCAAGAGGAGGAUCUGCGCGUGGAGGCCCCGGGAACCCCAACAGCAUCGCGCGGCCCCUGCCCUGCGUCCUGGCUGCCUCUCGUGGACCGAGGGUUGGAAGCAGCCGUAGGACCUGACCAUCAGUAUAAAGCUGAGUCUUCGCCACCUACCACCUUGCUCCUUUCUGUCUUAUCUUGAUGCACAAUACUGAAUUCAAGGUAGAAAUUAACUUACUAAUUCAUCCACCAAGAGGAGCUCAUAGAAACUUAUGUAGAAUAUGAUGGAUUCACUGGACAAAAAUAUUGCAUAUGUGUAAACCACAUGUGCAACCAAUAGAUACUGAGAGUGUAUGGCAGUGUGAGAGAGAGUCCAAUUUCUACCUUUCAGAAGCAGAAUAUGUACUGUGUAAUGCUACAGGAUACACCAGGUAGAAGUCUUUAUGUAUUGCUAGUGGGCU